rnacentral:rRNA from 1 species
UGGGGAAUAUUGGGCAAUGGGGGAAACCCUGACCCAGCGACGCCGCGUGGGUGAAGAAAUCCCUCAGGAUGUAAAGCCCUGUUGUAUGGGAAGAGCAGAAGACGGUACCAUACGAGGAAGCCCCGGCAAACUACGUGCCAGCAGCCGCGGUAAUACGUAGGGGGCAAGCGUUGUCCGGAAUUACUGGGCGUAAAGCGCACGCAGGCUGAAUUAUAAGUCGGUAGUCAAAUACGGAGGCUCAACUUCCGGAUAUCUAUCGAUACUGUAAAUCUAGAGUAUGUGAGAGGGAAGCGGAAUUCCCGGUGUAGCGGUGAAAUGCGUAGAUAGCGGGAGGAACACCAGUGGCGAAGGCGGCUUCCUGGCACAAUACUGACGCUCAUGUGCGAAAGCUAGGGCAGCGAACG